rnacentral:rRNA from 1 species
UACGUAGGUGGCAAGCGUUGUCCGGAUUUAUUGGGCGUAAAGGGAGCGCAGGCGGUGACUUAAGUCUGAUGUGAAAGCCCACGGCUCAACCGUGGAAGGUCAUUGGAAACUGGGUCACUUGAAUAUAGAAGAGGAAAGUGGAAUUCCAUGUGUAGCGGUGAAAUGCGUAGAGAUAUGGAGGAACACCAGUGGCGAAGGCGGCUUCCUGGUCUGUAACUGACACUGAGGCGCGAAAGCGUGGGGAGCAAACAGGAUUAGAUACCCCCGUA